rnacentral:rRNA from 1 species
GUUAGGAGGGUUUCCGCCCUUCAGUGCUGCAGCUAACGCAUUAAGCACUCCGCCUGGGGAGUACGACCGCAAGGUUGAAACUCAAAGGAAUUGACGGGGGCCCGCACAAGCGGUGGAGCAUGUGGUUUAAUUCGAAGCAACGCGAAGAACCUUACCAGGUCUUGACAUCCUUUGACCACUCUAGAGAUAGAGCUUUCCCCUCCGGGGGAAAAAGAGACGUGGGG